rnacentral:rRNA from 1 species
UGGGGAAUUUUGGACAAUGGGCGAAAGCCUGAUCCAGCAAUGCCGCGUGUGUGAAGAAGGCCUUCGGGUUGUAAAGCACUUUUGUCCGGAAAGAAAUCCUUGGCUCUAAUACAGUCGGGGGAUGACGGUACCGGAAGAAUAAGCACCGGCUAACUACGUGCCAGCAGCCACGGUAAUACGUAGGGUGCAAGCGUUAAUCGGAAUUACUGGGCGUAAAGCGUGCGCAGGCGGUUUGCUAAGACCGAUGUGAAAUCCCCGGGCUCAACCUGGGAACUGCAUUGGUGACUGGCAGGCUAGAGUAUGGCAGAGGGGGGUAGAAUUCCACGUGUAGCAGUGAAAUGCGUAGAGAUGUGGAGGAAUACCGAUGGCGAAGGCAGCCCCCUGGGCCAAUACUGACGCUCAUGCACGAAAGCGUGGGGAGCAAACAGGAUUAGAUACCCUGGUAGUCCACGCCCUAAACGAUGUCAACUAGUUGUUGGGGAUUCAUUCCUUAGUAACGUAGCUAACGCGUGAAGUUGACCGCCUGGGGAGUACGGUCGCAAGAUUAAAACUUAAAUGAAUUGACGGGGUCAUAGCUGUUUCCU